GUAGGUGGCAAGCGUUGUCCGGAAUUAUUGGGCGUAAAGCGCGCGCAGGCGGUUCUUUAAGUCUGAUGUGAAAGCCCACGGCUCAACCGUGGAGGGUCACUGGAAACUAGAGAAAUUGAGUACAGAAGAGGAAAGCGGAAUUCCACGUGUAGCGGUGAAAUGCGUAGAGAUGUGGAGGAACACCAGUGGCGAAGGCGGCUUUCUGGUCUGUAACUGACGCUGAGGCGCGAAAGCGUGGGGAGCAAACAGGAUUAGAUACCCCUGGUAGUCCACGCCGUAAACGAAUGAGUGCUAAGUAGUUAGGGGGGUUUUCCGGGUCCCCCCCUUACGUUGCUGCAGCUAACGCAUUAAGCACUCCGCCCUGGGAGUACGGCCGCAAGGCUG
rnacentral:rRNA from 1 species